ACUCCUACGGGAGGCAGCAGUGGGGAAUUUUGGACAAUGGGCGAAAGCCUGAUCCAGCCAUGCCGCGUGCAGGAUGAAGGCCUUCGGGUUGUAAACUGCUUUUGUACGGAACGAAACGGCCUUUUCUAAUAAAGAGGGCUAAUGACGGUACCGUAAGAAUAAGCACCGGCUAACUACGUGCCAGCAGCCGCGGUAAUACGUAGGGUGCAAGCGUUAAUCGGAAUUACUGGGCGUAAAGCGUGCGCAGGCGGUUAUGUAAGACAGUUGUGAAAUCCCCGGGCUCAACCUGGGAACUGCAUCUGUGACUGCAUAGCUAGAGUACGGUAGAGGGGGAUGGAAUUCCGCGUGUAGCAGUGAAAUGCGUAGAUAUGCGGAGGAACACCGAUGGCGAAGGCAAUCCCCUGGACCUGUACUGACGCUCAUGCACGAAAGCGUGGGGAGCAAACAGGAUUAGAUACCCCGGUAGUCCCAUGAU
rnacentral:rRNA from 1 species